GAUGAAGAACGCAGCAAAAUGCGAUAAGUAAUGUGAAUUGCAGAAUUCAGUGAAUCAUCGAAUCUUUGAACGCACAUUGCGCCCGCUGGUAUUCCGGCGGGCAUGCCUGUUCGAGCGUCAUUUUAACCCUCAAGCCCCCGGGUUUGGUGUUGGGGAUCGGCUCUGCCCUUCUGGGCGGUGCCGCCCCCGAAAUACAUUGGCGGUCUCGCUGCAGCCUCCAUUGCGUAGUAGCUAACACCUCGCAACUGGAACGCGGCGCGGCCAUGCCGUAAAACCCCAACUUCUGAAUGUUGACCUCGGAUCAGGUAGGAAUACCCGCUGAACUUAAGCAUAUCAAUAAGCGGAGGA
rnacentral:misc_RNA from 1 species